AGCCGCGGUAAUACCAGCUCCACAAGCGUAUAUUAAUGUUGUUGCAGUUAAAAAGCUCGUAGUUGGAUAUCUGUCAUGAUGGGCCUGGCCCAACAACUAAUUUUUAGCUGAUGUGUGCCGGUUUUUGGCGCCUUAGGUUGUCGCGCUCAUAUCUGAGCGGCUCUUCGGAGUACGUUUGAGUGGGUUGCGUGCCUUUGGUGCUUGCUCGUCGGACAUCCUUCAGGAGAACCGUUCUGCCAUUCAUUUGGUUGGGGCAAGGAUCCUGAUCGUUUAC
rnacentral:rRNA from 1 species